UACGUAGGGGGCAAGCGUUGUCCGGAAUUAUUGGGCGUAAAGAGCGCGUAGGCGGUCCGAUAAGUCGGCUGUGAAAGUCCAGGGGCUCAACCCUUGAAAGCCGGCCGAUACUGUCGGACUAGAGUCCGGAAGAGGGCAAGUGGAAUUCCCGGUGUAGCGGUGAAAUGCGCAGAUAUCGGGAGGAACACCAAUGGCGAAGGCAGCUUGCUGGGACGGUACUGACGCUGAGGCGCGAAAGCAUGGGGAGCGAACAGG
rnacentral:rRNA from 1 species